CUUGAAGAACCAUCGUUGUAAUUCAACUACAAAAACCA
rnacentral:tRNA from 1 species